rnacentral:misc_RNA from 1 species
CCAACUUUUCGGAGAGGAGGAUGCCUAAGGCAGUGCUGGUGACUGGGGUGAAGUCGUAACAAGGUAGCCGUACCGGAAGGUGUGGCUGGAUCACCUCCUUUUUAGGGAGACCUACACCCCUCAAAACUCGAAAGCAAAAUGCCAAUAGAGAUUGAGUUGGUCUAACCUAGGUCGGUCGCAAAAUUUGCUGAGCUUUCAAACUAUAGAUUGGUUCGGAUAAUGGGCUAUUAGCUCAGGUGGUUAGA